rnacentral:rRNA from 1 species
GGGGACGUAACAAAGCGACCCAGGAAUGCUUGGGCGUGCCUCCACCCACGCCGGCGUCGGCGGGCGUAUUUCGCCUCACAGUAGGUCGCCGCGACCCGUUGCUUUUGGGGACGUCGAAGGCCCGGACGGAUUGGUACCCUACCGGCUGGGGAUGCGGCUUCGGCUUCUCCUCUUGUCCGGUGGGCGAAACCGCCGGUGUCCUGGCUGCCCUGCGACGGUCGUAGAGACGAGCCCUCCCCUUCGGGGGGGCGGCUCUCGCGGCGUGCAAAAGGUCGGUGAUCCACCCGACCCGUCUUGAAACACGGACCAAGGAGUCUAACAUGUGUGCGAGUCAGUGGGCGCACUAAACCCAGAGGCGUAAUGAAAGUGACACGGGUUCGGCUGUCGCCUCGUGUGGCAGCCGGACUCAGGGCCGAUCCCUCACCGGUUGCCCUCGCCUCUCUCCCGCGUCUCGGUAAGCCGGGUGAGCUAUUUUCCCCGGCCGCUGCUGCGGGGCUCGGGGGGAGGCGGGGUUGCGAUGGUGUCCGUAAAAAAGAGCCUGCUGUUGCAGGGGGGCGCAGGCCCGGGACUUGCCAGGACGCCGCGAGACUGUCACUUUGCUGUGAGGCUCUCGGGCCGAUCAGCGGGUCAUGCGUGCAGUCGGCAAGUACCAUGAGCAGACAUGUUGGGACCCGAAAGAUGGUGAACUAUGCCUGGCCAGGAUGAAGCCAGAGGAAACUCUGGUGGAGGUCCGUAGCGAUUCUGACGUGCAAAUCGAUCGUCGGAGCUGGGUAUAGGGGCGA